rnacentral:rRNA from 1 species
AGUGAACGCUGGCGGUAGGCCUAACACAUGCAAGUCGAACGGCAGCACAGUAAGAGCUUGCUCUUACGGGUGGCGAGUGGCGGACGAGCGAGGAAUACAUCGGAAUCUACUUUUUCGUGGGGGAUAACGUAGGGAAACUUACGCUAAUACCGCAUACGACCUACGGGUGAAAGCAGGGGAUCUUCGGACCUUGCGCGAUUGAAUGAGCCGAUGUCGGAUUAGCUAGUUGGCGGGGUAAAGGCCCACCAAGGCGACGAUCCGUAGCUGGUCUGAGAGGAUGAUCAGCCACACUGGAACUGAGACACGGUCCAGACUCCUACGGGAGGCAGCAGUGGGGAAUAUUGGACAAUGGGCGCAAGCCUGAUCCAGCCAUACCGCGUGGGUGAAGAAGGCCUUCGGGUUGUAAAGCCCUUUUGUUGGGAAAGAAAAGCAGCAGGUUAAUACCCCGCUGUUCUGACGGUACCCAAAGAAUAAGCACCGGCUAACUUCGUG